UUCCUACGGGUGGCAGCAGUAGGGAAUAUUGCGCAAUGGGCGAAAGCCUGACGCAGCGAUGCCGCGUGAGUGACGAAGGUCUUCGGAUUGUAAAGCUCUUUUCUGAGGGAAGAAUAGGUCUGGUAGGAAAUGACUGGAUUCUGACGGUACCUCAGGAAUAAGGAACGGCUAACUCCGUGCCAGCAGCCGCGGUAAUACGGAGGUUCCAAGCGUUGUUCGGAAUUACUGGGCGUAAAGGGAGCGCAGGCGGACGGGUCAGUUUAAAGUGGAAUCCCAGGGCUCAACCCUGGACGUGCUUUGGAUACUGCCUGUCUUGAGUUCGUGAGAGGAAAGUGGAAUUCAGGGUGUAGCGGUGAAAUGCUUAGAUAUCCUGAGGAACACCAGUGGCGAAAGCGACUUUCUGGCACGAAACUGACGCUGAGGCUCGAAAGCAUGGGUAGCGAACGGGAUUAGAUACCCGUGUAGUCUC
rnacentral:rRNA from 1 species